UACGUAGGUGGCAAGCGUUAUCCGGAUUUAUUGGGCGUAAAGAGAACGCAGGCGGUCUUUUAAGUCUGAUGUGAAAGCCUUCGGCUUAACCGGAGUAGUGCACUGGAAACUGGGAGACUUGAGUGCAGAAGAGGAGAGUGGAACUCCAUGUGUAGCGGUGAAAUGCGUAGAUAUAUGGAAGAACACCAGUGGCGAAAGCGGCUCUCUGGUCUGUAACUGACGCUGAGGUUCGAAAGCGUGGGUAGCAAACAGG
rnacentral:rRNA from 1 species